UUUUCCUUUGUUUCGCCUUAAAGUAAAAUGGACUCGAGCUGGAUUUCCUGCUAACGGUACCCUGCAAACCACACCCAACCUGAUGACAGGACAGCGGAGUGAAAAAGAGAUGCCAGUCACACACAGCCCUGACAGCGUUUGAACUCCCCAAAAUCUAAUCGUACCAUACAGGAGUGUAGUGAAUGCAUUAAGUGGGCCAGUCACCAAAGGAAGGCUACAAAGAUACCUAACCUCCAGAUAAAGAGAGUAAUCUCUUUUGGGCAUAAAACUACCUCUACUAUGACAGCUUUUGAACAGACGCACGCUGAAGUCUCCUCCACAAAAAUGACACUUGAAGUAAAGGCCGAAUCAGCAGCGUGAUGAUGAUCCAGAAGCGGCGUUAGGCUGCGUGACAGGGAGUAUGCAGAACUACAACACUAAUGACCGCUGGAAACACACAUGCGGACAACAGCCAGGCUCCUGAUAAAGCGUGGGGUCAGGCUUUAUCUAAACCGUGUACACAGCUUCACCAGAACUUUUAUUUGAAUUCAUUUCCAUUGCGCGGGUGU